rnacentral:rRNA from 1 species
CCUACGGGAGUCAGCAGUGAGGAAUAUUGGUCAAUGGCCGUGAGCCUGCACCAGCCAAGUCGCGUGAAGGAUGACUGCCCUACGGGUUGUAAACUUCUUUUAUAGAGGAAUAAAGUUAUCCACGUGUGCCUUUUUGCAUGUACCUUAUGAAUAAGCAUCGGCUAACUCCGUGCCAGCAGCCGCGGUAAUACGGAGGAUGCGAGCGUUAUCCGGAUUUAUUGGGUUUAAAGGGUGCGUAGGUUGGUUGUUAAGUCAGGUGUGAAAGUUUGUGGCUCAACCGUAAAAUUGCCGUUGAAACUGGAAGACUGGAGUGUGUGUGAGGUAGGCGGAAUGCGUGGUGUAGCGGUGAAAUGCAUAGAGAUCAUACAGAACACCGAUUGCGAAGGCAGCUUACCAAACUGCGACUGACGUUGAGGCACGAAAGCGUGGGGAGCAAACAGGAUUAGAUACCCUUGUAGUC